ensembl:misc_RNA
CAAGAUCUUUUUCUCCAGUGGAGACUGCUGACCUGCAGCAAUCCUAGGAUCUUUAGAUGAAGUAGCCCAGGCCAAU